UACGUAGGGGCCAAGCGUUGUCCGGGUUUAUUGGGCGUAAAGAGCUCGUCGGUGGUUCUGCAAGUCAGUUGUGAAAUCUCCGCGCUCAACGCGGAGGGGUCAGCUGAAACUGCUGUGACUUGAGUCUGGUAGGGGAGUGUGGAAUUCCCGGUGUAGCGGUGAAAUGCGCAGAUAUCGGGAGGAACACCAGUGGCGAAGGCGGCACUCUGGGCCAGUACUGACACUGAGGAGCGAAAGCGUGGGGAGCGAACAGG
rnacentral:rRNA from 1 species